UUGAUUUGUUUGUGCUCAGUUUUAUUUAAUGAAGUUUCCAUGCAUGCGUAAAACUUGAAGAUUAACCAUCUAUGGAAAUAAGAGAUGCAUGCUCGGUGUGCCGUCUUUGCAAUAAUGUUGGCCAUGGCUGAUUUAAUAGCGACAUUAAUUCUUCUGGAAAUUUGUUUGGCUUGCGGCGGUCCCGGCGGUCCGGCAGGCUAUAUAGCUGCACACUAAAAAAAUUCUACCAAGUACUUAUGCUAACAAAUGUUAAUUACUAUAGAUAGUGGAAUAUAUAGAUGAGCGAAGAUAAAUCCUCUGUCUCCAAACGAACUGUCAAACGUGUCUCCAAACGAGCAUGACGUCACGAUUUCAAUGGAAACGUUAAGGGCUGUGACGUCAUAUGCGCGUGUGCACGGGCAAAAAAAUCGACUCAGCCAUGCUUUCGCUCAUCUAUAGAUUCUAC